AGCACGUGACGGCACCAACAUUUCUGCUUACCUUCCCUUGGAAAGGCAAAGUCACUGUCCACAACCCGCCCCCAACCUCCCCUCCACAUUUUAAAUUUUGACACGCCCCGAAGCCGUUACAUCACUCUCUAGGCUCCUCCUUAACUCCACCUCUAGGGUUUCUCUACCUCACCAGUAGCCAUGCUCUUCCUCCACCCCCGCAGUAGCCGCCACCACUCUCUCCUCCGCAUCCACAUCAAAUUCCUCUCCACAAUUUCCUCACAGCAUUUGCACCUCCCACUCUCCUUCCCAACCUACAUGAUAUGGGGCUCCAACACUUCCCUCGGCAAAACCCUAAUUUCCACCGGCCUCGCCUCUUCCUUCCUCCUCUCCCCCCGUACCACCAACAAAACCCCCAAAUUCGUCUACCUCAAACCAAUCCAAACCGGUUUCCCUUCCGAUUCCGAUUCUCAUUUCGUCUUUUCUAAACUCUCCUCCCUCGCUUCACUCCGUUCCUCUUCUCUCUCUCUCUCUGCUUCCAAUUCCGUCCUCAAUUCCUCCCUUUCCGCUGCCAAUUCCCUCUUUGGCGACGAUUCUAAGACCAAGGGUCGGAACUUAGGGAUUUAUAAUUUGAAUUUCUCUGAGGAGAACAGGUUUGUGAAAGAUGGGGUUAAUGUGGUUUCGGAGUUGGUUUGUGAAACUUUGUAUGCAUGGAAGGAGGCUGUUUCGCCGCACUUGGCAGCAGAGAAGGAGAAUGGAGUUGUGGAGGAUUCUGUAGUGUUGGAGACUUUAGAGAAGUGUUUGAGAAAAGAAGAGGACAUAAAGGUAGAGGAAAUGGAUGUUUUUUGCGUGGUUGAGACUGCUGGUGGCGUUGCGAGUCCAGGUCCGUCUGGGACCUUACAAUGUGACUUGUACCGGCCUUUUCGCUUACCUGGUGUUCUUAUGGGAGAUGGCAGGCUAGGUGGUAUUUCUGGAACCAUUUCAGCUUAUGAGAGUUUAAAACUUCGAGGGUAUGAUAUUGUUGCUGUUGUUUUGGAAGAUCAUGGCCUUGUUAAUGAGGUGCCAUUAUUGUCAUAUUUGCGAAAUAGGGUUCCUGUAAUUGUGCUUCCACCUGUGCCACAAGAUAUGUCAAAUGACUUGGUGGAAUGGUUUGGUGAUUCUAAUGAAGCAUUUAAUUCUCUAAAGGAAAUAAUGAUAUCAACUUUUUCAGAAAGAAUUCUGAGACUGAAUGACAUGGCAAAAAAGGCAGUGCACACUUUGUGGUGGCCGUUUACUCAGCACAAACUGGUACCGGAAGAGGCUGUUACUGUUAUUGAUUCAAGAUGUGGCGAGAACUUUGCUAUCUACAAGGUCCAAGGCAAUCAGUUUAUUACUCAACAAUUUGAUGGAUGCGCUAGUUGGUGGACCCAAGGACCUGAUGCUACUCUGCAGACUGAGCUUGCUAGAGAGAUGGGUUAUACUGCUGCAAGAUAUGGUCAUGUAAUGUUUCCAGAGAAUGUUUACGAGCCGGUGUUGGAAUGUGCACAGCUUUUGCUUGAGGGUGUGGGUAAAGGGUGGGCUUCAAGGACAUACUAUUCAGAUAAUGGAUCAACGGCAAUUGAAAUUGCUCUCAAAAUGGCAUUUCGCAAAUUUUCAUUUGAUAAUGGACUCCUUUUAGAUUUUGCCAACAGUAACAGAACUGACAAAUCUGUCCAACUAAAGGUAUUGGCUCUCAAAGGAUCUUAUCAUGGUGACACUUUGGGUGCGAUGGAAGCUCAAGCACCGUCAUCUUAUACAGGCUUCCUCCAACAGCCAUGGUACACAGGAAGAGGGCUUUUUCUAGACCCUCCUACAGUGUCUAUGUCCAAUAAUAAAUGGAAUCUUUCUUUACCUGAGGGAAUGCAUUGUGAAAAUAUGAUUAAGAAAGACACGAACUUCAGCACUCGUGAUGAAAUAUUUGACAAGAGCAGGGACAAAUCAGAUCUCACAGGAGUUUAUUCCUCAUAUAUAUCGCAGAAAUUAUUACAAUACCUUGGAUUAAAAGAAUCUAUCCAUGUUGGAGCAUUGAUUAUCGAACCAGUUAUCCAAGGUGCUGGUGGAAUGCUUAUGAUUGAUCCACUUUUCCAAAGGGUGCUUGUAAGUGAGUGCCGAAGUAGAAAUAUUCCAGUUAUAUUUGAUGAAGUUUUCACAGGUUUCUGGCGUCUUGGAACAGAGUCUGCAGCAGAACUACUUGGUUGUCUACCUGAUAUAUCCUGCUUUGCAAAGCUGAUGACUGGCGGGGUUAUACCCUUGGCUGCAACAUUGGCCUCAGAUGCAGUUUUUGAUUCUUUUCUUGGAGAAUCAAAGCUCAAAGCCCUUUUGCACGGACACUCAUACUCUGCUCAUGCUAUGGGGUGCUCAGCAGCUGCUAAAUCAAUUAAAUGGUUUAAGGAUCCUCAAACAAACCAUAAUAUUAUUUCUGGGCGAAGAUUGCUUAGGGAGUUAUGGAAUGCGGAACUGGUGCAACAGAUCUCAUCACAUCCUUCGGUUGAAAGAGUGAUAGCAUUAGGAACUCUUUUUGCUCUAGAACUAAGAGCAGAAGGGCAUAAUGUUGGGUAUGCAUCCCUCUAUGCCCGCUCUCUUCUUCAGAAGCUCCGUGAAGAUGGUGUUUACAUGAGGCCUUUGGGUAAUGUCAUAUAUGUCAUGUGUGGGCCAUGCACAUCUCCUGAGAUCUGCACAAGCCUACUCAUUAAACUUUACACGAGACUUGAAGAGUUCACCCAGGUACAGCAGGGUUCCUGCUAAUUAUGAAAGUCUAGCUAAUGUUUUUUCUUUUAAAAAAUAGUGAACGAGGAUUCAAUAUAAAUAAUGAUUGUGAUACUAAUUUAAUAAUUUUCUCUUGUCAACUGAGAUGGCACCUUAUGCUAGGUGUUGAAUUAAUGACAAGUAUUAUUAAAUCUUAAA